CCUACGGGUGGCAGCAGUGAGGAAUAUUGGUCAAUGGACGCAAGUCUGAACCAGCCAUGCCGCGUGCAGGAAGACGGCUCUAUGAGUUGUAAACUGCUUUUGUACGAGGGUAAACGCAGAUACGCGUAUCUGUCUGAAAGUAUCGUACGAUUAAGGAUCGGCUAACUCCGUGCCAGCAGCCGCGGUAAUACGGAGGAUUCAAGCGUUAUCCGGAUUUAAUGGGUUUAAAGGGUGCGUAGGCGGUCGGAUAAGUUAGAGGUGAAAUUCCGAGGCUCAACUUCGGAAUUGCUUCUGAUACUGUUCGGCUAGAGAGUAGUUGCGGUAGGCGGAAUGUAUGGUGUAGCGGUGAAAUGCUUAGAGAUCAUACAGAACACCGAUUGCGAAGGCAGCUUACCAGGCUGCUUCUGACGUUGAGGCACGAAAGCGUGGGGAGCAAACAGGAUUAGAUACCCCUGUAGUC
rnacentral:rRNA from 1 species